rnacentral:rRNA from 1 species
GAUUAACGCUGGCGGCGUGCAUAACACAUGCAAGUCGAACGAUGAAACUUAACUGAUUUCUUCGGAAUGAUUUUAAGUGGGUUAGUGGCGGACGGGUGAGUAACGCGUGAGUAACCUGCCUUGGAGAAGGGGAUAGCCUUUGGAAACGAAGAAUAAUACCCUAUGAUAUGAUAAUAUCUCAUGAUAUUAUCAUCAAAGAUUUAUCGCUCUAAGAUGGACUUGCGUCUGAUUAGUUAGUUGGUGAGGUAACAGCUCACCAAGGCAGCGAUCAGUAGCCGGCUUGAGAGAGUGUACGGCCACAUUGGGACUGAGACACGGCCCAGACUCCUACGGGAGGCAGCAGUGGGGAAUUUUGCACAAUGGGGGAAACCCUGAUGCAGCGACGCCGCGUGAUUUAGAAGGCCUUCGGGUUGUAAAAAUCUUUUGUAUGGGAAGAAAAUGACAGUACCAUACGAAUAAGGACCGGCUAAUUCCGUG